rnacentral:lncRNA from 1 species
UCUCUCAGUAAUGUGUUAUAAUUUUCAUUGUAUAGGUCUGACACAUUUUUCUCUAACUCUCACUGCAUCCCAAAUGGAAGGGAUUGGUUUUAUUUUGCAAGAUAUAUACAUUAAAAGUGAUAUAUACAUUAAAAGCAACAAUAACUACCAAGUGUACUUUUACCAUCUUUUCCUAAAAGGACAUUUUAAUGCCAAAGAAACAGAUGGCAUGAGGUCAGAGCAGUAACAGUGGCUGAAAUCUACCUAUUUGGCACCCACGCCGGCUCCUGUUCUGAGGAGUCACGAAAACUGGAAAGGCAGUAACCCUGAGGCCGACAAAUUCCAUGUUAGUUCUAUUCCACCUCCAGUUCACCCUGUAUUCCUCUCAUCUCUAUGGCAGACAGAAUAAUGGCCCAAAGACAUACAUGGCCUGAUCCCCAGAACCUGCCACAUGCUGUCUCACAGGCCAACAGGGACUCUGCAGACGGGAAGGAAUUAAGCAUUGACACGGGGAAACUAUCCUAAAUUUUCCUGAUGGGCUCAAUGUCAUCACAGGCAUCCUAUGAAGUGACCACAGGACCUAAGAGGGUCAAGGUCAGAGGAGAGAUAGGGAGACGGAAGCAGAAGUUGGAGUGCAGCACUCUGAGGACAGAGGAAGAGCCAUGAGCCGAGGAAUGCAGGCAGCCUCUAGGACCUGGAAAAGGCAGGAAACGGAUUCUCCUCUAGAGCCUCAGGAAGGAACGUGGCUCUGCAAACACCUUGAUUUUGGGCGGUGAGACCCAUUUUGGACUUCUGACCUCCAGAACGAUAACAGAUGUGCGUUAUUUGUAAGCUGCUGGGUUUGUGGUGAUUUGUUACAACCCACUUUAGGGAACACUGACCCGGAAGGAGGGUGAGGAUAGAGAAGCCAGAGUCAGCACAGAGGUGCUGGGAGGCGGGAGCAGAGGAGGGGCGAGCUGUAUCCCAGACAGUAAGAGGGGAGAGUGUUUGGGGGCUGGUCAGGCUGCAUAAGAAGGCAGAGGGACAAGGCCACUGAGUUGGGUGGCGCAGAAGCCAAGUGGCAGCCUUGACAGGAGCUGUUCCCUCUGGAAGAAAGGAAGGACCCCCGGCUGCUGUGGACUGAAGGCUUUUGCUCGCUUUGCCUCACCUAGAUGCCCCCUUUCUGCUGCUACAUCCCAGCACCCAGCAGGCACUCGGUACACACCUACGAUGAACACCCGACUGCUCUGACUCUUCACCCUCCCACCACUGGUGACUCCAGCCUCACUGCUAACACUCCCUUACUCACGGGCCCCUCUGCUGCUCGAGGCGCCUCAGGGCCUUUGCACUGGCUGUUCCCGUGGCCUGGACCACUCUUCUCAGAGGUCUCUGCGUGGCUGCCCGCUGCUCAUCACCCAGGCCCCACACAGCCCCCACCGGGCACGUGAGAGUGUCAGGUAUUGAAAGGACAAUAUUUUGAAGACAUUAGGGUCAACGAGCAGAUUAUCAAAACUAAAUUCACCUGUUUCUUUUCACUUUUUUUUUUUUUUUUUUUUUUGAGACGGAGUCUCGCUCUGUCGCCCAGGCUGGUGUGCAGUGGCGCGAUCUCUGCUCACUGCAAGCUCCGCCUCCCGGGUUCCCACCAUUCUCCUGCCUCAGCCUCCCAAGUAGCUGGGACUACAGGCGCCCGCCACCACGCCUGGCUAAUUUUUUUGUAUUUUUAGUAGAGACGGGGUUUCAACCUGUUUAGCCAGGAUGGUCUCGAUCUCCUGACCUUGUGAUCCGCCCGCCUCGGCCUCCCAAAAUGCUGGGAUUACAGGCGUGAGCCACCGCGCCCGGCCUCUUUUCACUUUUUUUAACGUGGCGACUAGAACACGUAAGAUGGCGUCUGCGGUUCACCUUACACAUCCUCCCUGGAGAGCGUACUCUAAACCAGGAUGCAAGCUUCCCCUACAGGGCAAGACAGGAAAUGCUUCCAGCUUCUCAGGCUCUCUGUCAUAGUCACGGUGGCAAGAGUCAGCCACAGAUGACGUAAGUGAAUGGGUGUGGCUGUGCACCAAGACUUCACAAACACAGUUGCUGGGCUGGGCUGGGCGGGCCCCAGACAGUGAGUCGGCCCAUACCUGCUGUGUGAAAGAAUCCAAACCUGGGGCCGGGCGCGGUGGCUCACACCUGUAAUCCCAGCACUUCGGCAGGCCAAGAUUAGGCGGAUCACCUGAGGUCAGGAGUUCGAGACCAGCCUGGCCAACAAUGGUGAAACCCCAUUUCUACUAAAAAUACAAAAAAUUAGCUGGGCAUGGUGGCGGGCGCCUGUAAUCCCAGCUACUCAGGAGGCUGAGGCAGGAGAAUCACUUGAACCUGGGAGGCGGAGGUUGCAGUGAGUCGAGAUAGCGCCACUGCACUCCAGCCUGGGCAACAAGAGCGAAACUCUGUCUCAAAAAAAAAAAAAAAGAAAAAAAAAAGAAAUAAUAAAAAAAGAAGAAUCCAAACCUGCCCAGAGAGAGGCCUGGCUUUUGCCCUCCGCCCUCGGGAAGUCAUCUCUGAGCCCUUGGUGUCUCGCGCAUGAGGAGGGUCUGACUGCCUGGGGCCCUCAGGCCAGCCCGACAGCAAGAUGGAUUUGGGGUGGAGUUUGGGCCAGGUGGUAUCCUUGAGCUUCCGGGGCUGGAGGCUGAGGUCAGCCACACAGAUCGGGGAGGAGUCCCCAGUAAGAACCCGGGACACCAAGAUCUGAGGAGGGUCCCUGGCUGGCAACACUCCCUGCGUGCCGGGAGGAGUGAAGGGAGAGGACAGCUGAUAACUGGUCUCCGUGGAGCCUUCCGGGCCCUCUUCCUGGCUGCUUCCAGCGCGUCCUUCUCUGUGAUAAGCCGUGACUGUGAACAUGGCUGGCCACCGCCUCCUCCCAGCUUAGCGGCUGACGGCUGCACACCCAGGCCUGCGUGUCGGCUGGCAGCGCGCUCAGAAACUGCUCCAGCACCAGCAGCUCCAGCAUCUGCUCCUUGGUGUGCACCUCGGGCCGCAGCCGGUCCCGGCACAGGGCGCGUAGCAGCCCCAGCGCCUCGUGCGGGCCCGGCGCCUCGCCCAGGUGGAAGCGGCGGAAGCGGUGCCACGAGGAGCCCAGCGCCAGGCCCUCGGCCUCCUGCUUCAGCGGCACCGUCAGCUCCAUGGGGCCUCCUGGACGGCAGCGCCUGCCCCGCGUGGCCCAGGGUGCAAAGAGGUCUCUGUGAGGGGCGGCGCUCACUCGGGCGGUGAGGAAAGGGUGUCUGUCUCGUGGGAUCCCACGGAGUCAAGUGCCGGCUCUGCCCCUCGUUGGGCCCCUUCCGCGGCUUCUGUACCUCAGUCCUGCAGCUCCUCCCGCAGCCUGUCCUACAGCACAAAGGCUCUGGAGCAAAUUCCAGCUCUGCCUCCCACCAGCUCUGUGUCCUUGGACAAGGUACAAGGCACCUUUUGUAAUACACUGUCUCUCCAUGUCCUUGGCUCACUCUCUCAGGCGAGGCCUCCCAAGCCUCUUUACCUCCGCGCACAUGUGCACAGAGCUCACCGGAACUCCUCUUACACAUUUUUGAUUAUUCGUUGCUGGUACCUAGAAAUACUAUUUUUGUGUAUUGAUCCUUCUAGCCAGUGACUUUGCAGAAUUUACUUAUUAAUUCUAGUAGCUUUACUUUAGAUGACUUAGGGUUUUCCAUGUAUACGAUCAUGUCUUCUGGGAAUAAAGGCAGCAUUAUAUCCUCCUUACCAAUUUCAAUGCCUUUUCUCUCCCUUGCCUUGCUGCAUUGGCUGGUGUCUCCAAUAGAGUGUCGAAAAGAAGUGCCGAGGGUAGACAUUCUUGCACAGUUCCCAAUUUUAGAAAGAAAGCAUUCGGGCUUUCACCAUCAUUAAGUGUGGUGUCAACCUUGAGUUUGUCACUUACACCCUUUAUGAGGCUGAGGAAAUUCCCUUCUGUUCCUAAAAUGCUCAGUUUUUAUUACAAAUGGGUAUUAAAUUCUGUCAAGGGCCGGGCGCAGUGGCUUACGCCUGUAAUCCCAGCAUUUUGAGAGGCCUAGGUGGGCGGAGUUUGAGACCAGCCUGGCCAACAUAGUGAAACCCCGUCUCUACUAAAAAUUCAAAAAAAAAAAAAAAAAAAAAAAAAAAAGCCAGGCGUGGUGGCACUGGCCUGUACUCCCAGCUACUUGGGAGGCUGAGGCAGGAGAAUCUCUUGAACCCAGGAGGCGGAGGUUGUGGUGAGCGGAUAUUGAGGCAUUGCACUCCAGCCUGGGCAACAGAGUGAGACUCGAUCUAAAAAAAAAAAAAAAAUUCUGUCAAAUGCUUUUUCUAUAUCUGUUGAGAUGAUAUGAUGGUAUUGACAGGGGUUUUCCCCUUCAUUCUGUUAAUAUGGUGAAUUACAUUGAUAUUAAAAUAUUAAACCAAUCUUGUAAGUCAGGGAAAAUUGACACUUGGUUAUGGUUAUAUAUAUAUAUAUCUUACUGGAUUUGAUUUGUUAAAAUUAAAAACUUUUCUUUUUCGAAACCACUUUAUUGGCCUGGUGCAGUGGUGCACGUCUGUAAUCACAGGACUUUGGGAGGCUGAGUUGGAGACCAACAUGGACAACAUGACGAAACUCUGUCUCCACUAAAAAUACAAAAAUUAGCUGGGGGUGGUGGUGCACGCCUGUAGUCCCAGCUACUCAGGAGGCUGAGGUGGAAGUCACUUGAGCCCAGGAGGUCAAAGCUGCAGUGAGCUAAGAUCCCACCAGUGUACCCCAGCCUGGGAGACAGAGCAAGACCUUAUCUCAAAACAAACAAACAAAAAACAAAGCAACAACAACAACAAAAAAGCUGCUGCAGUGGCUCACGUCUGUAAUCCCAACACUUUGGGAGCGUGGGGGGGGGCGGGGGGGGUGGAUCACCUGAGGUCAGGAGUUCGAGACCAGCCUGGCCAACAUGGUGAAACUCUGUCUAUACUGAAAAUACAGAAUUAGCCAGGUGUGGUGGCACACACAUGUAGUCCCAGGUACUCGGGAGGCUGAGACAGGAGAAUCUCUUGAACCCAGGAGGUGGAGACUGCAGUGAGCUGAGAUUCCACCACUGCACUCCAGCCUGGGCAAGACAGAGCAAGACUCUGUCUCAAAAACAAAACACAUACACACACACACACACACACACACACACACACAACCAGAUUAUUUUAUUGAGAUAGAAUUCAUAUGCCAUACAAUUCAAUUCACCCACUUAAAGUGUACAAUUAUUUUAGUAUAUCGUCAGAUACACACAACUAUCACCACAAUGAUUUUUAGAACAUUUUCAUCACCUCAUGAAGAAAUCCUAUACUUUUCUCUUUAUUUUGAGACAGAGUUUGGCUCUUGUUGGCCGGGCUGGAGGGCUGGGAUUACAGGCGUGAGCCACCACCGCACCUGGCCAGAAAUCCUAUACUCUUUAGCUGUCACUGUUGACCCUCUCUCCCCGAGGCAUAAACAUCCACUAAUCUACCUUAUCUUCAGAGUUUACUGUAGAGAUUUUAUUAAAUGAAAUAAUAUAAAAUGUUAUCUUUGCGACUGGCUUUUUUCCCUUAGCAUGAUGUUUUCAAGGCUCAUCUGUGUUGUGGUAUACAGCAGUACUUCAUUUCUUUCUCGAUUUGAAUAAUGUUCCAUUGUAUGAUCUACCACAUACUGUUCAUCCAUUCAUCAGCUGAUGGGCAUUUAGGCUGUUUUCACCUUUUAUCUAUUGUGAAUAAUGCCAUUAUGAACAUUCCUAUACAAGUUUUUGUGUGUACAUGUGUUUUUAUUACCUUGGGGGUAUGUAUCUGGGAAUGAAUUGCUGGGUCAUAUGGAAACUCUGUAUUUAAUCAAUGAGAGAACUGCCAGAUUGUUUUCCAAAGUGACUGCACCAAUUUAUAUUCCCAUCAGUCAUAUAUGAGGGUCUGAUUUUUGUUUUCUCACCAACACGUACCUUUUUUUUUGACACAGGGUCUCACUCUGUUGCUCAGGCUAGACUGCAGUGACAUGAUCAUGGCUCACUGCAGCCUCAGCCUUCCUGGGCUCAGGUGAUCCUCCCACCUCAGCUUCCUGAGUAGCUGGGACUUCAGGCACAUGCUACCACACCCAGCUAAUUUUUUAACAUGGUUUAGAGUUAACUGUUUACUUCCUGGGAGUGGGGAAAUUUUCUCUUUAUCAAAAGUUGGCCCUAAUAUUCUAAGAGUUAUAGGUAAAUGUGAAUCAAUAUGUCAGUUCCCCAUCUCCCCGCUCAUCUUUCUUAACUUUGUAGCUUAAUGACAUGAAUAUACAGAGCGAACAGACUUUGGUCUAAAUAUCAAAGUUUAUUGAAAUAAAAUAUAAUCUAUAAUAAAAAAUACUACAGGUGUUAUUCACUGGUUACAGUUUUAAGUAUAUUAACAAAAACAGCCAACAUUUUAACCCAACAAUGACACUAUCUUUGUGGUACAAUAACAAACAUGAAAGUAAAUGUUGAAUAAUACUGAAUAAUUCUGUCAGAAAUAUUUUAUACUUUACCAUCUAUGUAUGCCUUUUAAGGAAUAUCCUCCCAAAGUGAAAGUUUUGAAACUGAUGACAUUGUUUUUAAGAAUUAAGUAGUUUUAAAAUAAUUAGUAUUUAAAACAAAUUUAUUUCACAGAAAUUCAGUUCAACCCUAAGCUGGGUAGAUGGUUUUAGGUAUCUUUAUGCAAAAAAUGUAUUUCAAUGCUCUUUCCUAUGAAUCUCUAGGGUUGUUAUUAUUCCUCAAUUGAAAUUAAAGCUGGUCAUAAAGCAAAACAGAUGAAUUAUUUCAGAAGUAAAAUGGGUAUUAAGAUAAAAAAUGAAAGGAGGAGGAAAAAAUAGGCACUCAUACGUAAUCUAUAUAUUAAAACGCUUUGAGAACUCAGUAGCCAGUCUUGGCCUGGCACAAAGAGAUCUUUGAUAUGUCACAGCAAAUUGACCCAAUUAGUCCAACAAUAAAGUGGAGAAAGAAAACUUGUUUCUCUUCCUUGCUAUAUUUCAAGAUAAUUUUCUCUGUAGUCAUUAUACCAUUCCACUUGCUACUCCUCAAAAUAUGUGCCUCAAUCCAAUUAUUCUGCACAAUUCAAGGAAAAGAUUCACACGCACUAGCUUUAGGAAAUGACUUUCAGGGUACCUCUGAAGUUUCACAAGCAAACAUGAUUCCUUUUGCUGACUGUUUUGUAGCAUUCACACACCAAUCUCCUGUUAUACUGUCCUACUUGUAAUGUGUGAAUCUGUAACAAGCUGUCAUUUAUUAAGCAAGAUAGUCUUUUAACAAAAACCUCUGAGGGCUUUUCAAAACCUCAUCUUUAAAAAUCUGUAAAACAAAGAUACCCUAUGUACCCUGAAAAAACUGCUUAUUUCACAUAUGUGAAAAACAAUAAUAAAAAUUCUGACAAAAUUGAGAGACAUACAAGACAGGUCUUCAAGGAUUAAAUACUGUUUGUCUUAAAACAUGUUGCAAUUAUGUUCACAAUGUAAGGUUCAUUAAAAAUUUUUAAAAAACACAUUGCAUUAGUUAGAACUGCUUUGUAAGGUAUUUCAGUUACAAGGCCUAUUUUGACAGAUCACUGAUUUGAGAACUUAAAUGGGAAUUUCAGUUUCUUGACUUUUUUUUUUUUUUUUUUUUGAGAUAUAAGAGUCUCGCUCAGUCGCCCAGGCUGGAGUGCAGUGGGGCAAUCUUGGCUCACUGCAACCUCUGCCUUCCGGGUUCAAGCGAUUCUUGCGCCUCAACCUCCCCAGUGGCUGGGAUUACAGGCAUGUGCCCCAAAGUGCUGGGAUUACAGGCAUGAGCCACCGCACCGGGCCAGUUUCCUGACUUUUUAUUUUCAGCUAUAAAACAAUUAUGAGAGCCAAAGGAGCCAGGAUCACCUUCCAAAACAUUUUGUUUUGUCCUUCUCUAAUUUAUGAGGCAUUCUUUCUUCUCAAAGCAGGAUAUUACAGUGCAGAUUAAAACUGGAUAUUAAAGUUAAUGGUGACAAAUUAUUAAGUAGUUUGAAGAAAUCCUUAGAAUAUCAGAUAAAGAGAGACUUAAUGGCAGAAGAAGAAGUCUACUGGGGUUCAAAGCUUAGGUUUUAUAUUUCUGCCAUGGUAUCUCAACACUUUCUCUGGGAUAGUACGAUGCCCUAAAAAAUACCUGUGUUAGGCAGACAAGUCUAAAUCUCCUUUCUCAGGACAAUAGGACAAAACUGAACUUGAGGCAAUAGUUGAAGAAUUUUACCCCGUUUUUCAAGUUUAAUUUUCUUGAGAUCAGAAAAGUAAAAUUAGAAAGUAGAAUCCUUCAUGUAAAAAAAUAUAUGCGUAUCACAAUUUAUUAAACUCUAACAUCUAAGAGCAAAAACACCAGGAUUAAGUAAGAACAUGCAUGAACUAAAAUUUAGAUAGAUAUUCAAAGUAAGUUAAAUUUACCAGAGUCCUGCAUCUGGCCUCUCCCAUGCCAUUAUCGCUAUUUUGCAAUUUGUUUUGUUCAGGAAGCCUCUGAUUUUAAUAUUUAAAGUGUCACCUGAGAAGAGUAACCUCAAUUCUUCAUGUUUUCUCAACAAUCUUAGAGGUGUUGGACAUCAUUAAUAAAAUAUACUAAAUUAUCAGAGAACUUAAGAACGCUAAGAUUCUGAUGAGUUCCUUUACCAUUUUCAGUCACUUUCUAAAAGGGAUUUAACUUCACAUUAUCAAAUAACAUUUUACACUAAAAACACAAUUUAUAUAGCCCUAAAAUAAUAUUACUUGAGAGAUCUAAAUGAAUUCCACCAAUGCAAACGAAGUUUAUAUACUGUAUUAGUAAUUUGAUACCACCGUAUUCCAUGGAGAAAAAGGCAAAGAGAAUCUAAAUAUUUAGAUCUGUGAAAGAUACUAGAAAAAAAUAGAUUUUUAAAUGCUUCUGAUCCUCUCAAAAUACUCUUGAUUUUGACUCUAUAGUCUAUAGAACACACAAAAAACUGUAAAAUGCAUUUGGGAAGAGAUCACGCCAUACUCAAAGAAAAUUCUACAAAUUUUGACAGCAUUAAAAAAACUGACUUAAGAUAUAUUUUGUUAUUGAGAAAAAAGUGUGCACAUUCAAGAACAUAGGAUGUGUAAUAUUUGUGAUAAAUUAAGUCAUACUUUGUGCUUAUACUAUGCCCUUUAUUCAGGAGUGCAAAACACUUAAUCAAAAAGAGCAUCCUUCACAUAUUUAAAGAGUACAUUGAGGCACAGAAAGUUUGCCCAAGGCAAGAUAGAAAGUCGGGUUUAUAGACACAAAAUGAUCUAGAAUUCUUCAUGUCCAAUUCCUUAAAAUACAAACUGUAGACUAUUUGUAAUGCCUCCAUCUUAUUUUAUCAAACAUUAGUAAUUUUACUAUUAUAAGUUUAUGCAUAAGUACUGUGUGAUAGGUAAUGCCCAUAAGGUUUUUAUCAUGUUUUAAGGUAACUUGUGCAUGGAAUAGGAAAAGUUAAUCAAAUGUAAUCAAUUCGCUUUUGCUUUUUAACAAAACUUAAAUAAAUGAGCUAUUUGAGGACAGUUCUGGAAAUUCUUGCCUUGAUUUUUCUCCAAGAUUUUAGAUAUGUAGUUCACAUGUGAACAUUAAUAUAUGAACAAUUAUUUUAUUUAUUGGCCUCUAGUUCUCUUUCCUCUCAUGAUCUGUCUCUUAGUGAAUUGACUUUCUGAUUCAUUGAAAGCAAAAUGCUAAGAAGGUUUUGUGCAAGUGCAAAAUGUUUAAUCUUGGGUUCAGUCAACUAGUCUCUGAUACUAACUUGCUUAGUUAAGCCAAGAUCAAGAAGUAUGAGAAAGAACUUGAAAUAUGAUAAAGAAUUUGAAACAGAAUAUGGGAUAAGUAGUCAAUAUCAGAAAUGUGAGACAAUAAAAACAAGAUAUAUUCCAAAGCCUAAUCCUAAAUUUAAAUCUACACUUCAUUCAACUCUGAACCUGACCUUGAAACAUGGAAGAAGUUACUUUACCUAAGCACACUGCACCAGUGUAAAACCAAUGCCAAUUUUAGCUGCUUUAUACUGCUUAAUGUGUAUAUGUACACAUGUAUUCUUAAAAUGGUGAUUCUUAAAUUGAAGUUCUGAAUUCUUUUGAGAAUCUAACAGAGGUCAUGAAAACUUGCUUCAGAAACACACAUAUGUAAAGUACUUUUAAGUGUUGAUCAUGUACUAUAAAUCACAGCAUUGUGGAUGCAAUGGGAUUAGACAUGAAGAAAAAUUUUAUAUUUUUAAUAAAGACUGGUUACUAACCUUAAGGAAUAUACUUAGACUCUGAAAGUAAAAGGAAAGUGCAAUGACCAUAUUUGUUCAUUCAUCUGCCUAUUUUCAAAUCUAAUGAUGAUUUGGUUGAUGCAAAUAUGUCCCUAAUCUAGGCUAUAAAUGAUAAAAACAAAAAUGUUUAAGUUCUAACUUUUGUUAGCAGUAUACAUCUAAGAAUUUUCAAGUAUUACAAAAUACUUGGAAGGAAAGACUUUAAUAUACCACUUUCAAAAUCCUAUGUACCCAAACCAGCAAUGAAGUGGUGGGAUAUAUAACGUUACCUUGGGCAAAAUUUAAGAAAAUAAAGACACAAUAGCUCUAAUUUUUUUUUUUUUUUUUUU